CCUCCCAGCUUUUGACGUUGCUCAGCUGAACGCAAACUCUCAAGUGAUGACCGGAUCAUGCGUCUCAAAGAAGGGUAUGGCUUAAGAGAGGUAUAUCAAAGAAGGGAGCACUGUUAGCGUGAUGGGUGUUGUUCGACGACAUGAUAUAUAAUUUGCUGAUGAUCGUUCCGCCACAAGAGCCGUCUCAACAGGUUGUCAGUGGUUCCCAUGCCUCCUUCCAGUCCGUGUUGAAGGCCUUGUUUUGACAUGUGAUGAUAAUCAAAGUGCUGAUGCCGUUCUUGUGUAGAUAUUUAGCUGUUCAUCUUGAUGUAAGUUUCUUUUGAACUGGAUUUCACAGGUAAAUAUUUGAAGGGUGCCAACCAUGGCAAUCAUCAAGCACCCCCAGACCACUCUGUACCUUCUUUUUCAGGUUUUAAGGAGCAUGUAAAUGGCACAGAAGUUGCAGAGAUGAAAGAAUGAAGGCGCCAUGUAGCAACGAAACAUGUUAUAAGUAUACAGUAAGUGAUAUGGAAGAAAUAGUAUAAAAUC